rnacentral:tmRNA from 1 species
GGGGGCGACCUGGUUUCGACGUGGGUUGCGAAACAGCUCGGUGCAUGUCAAGGUCCAGUCACCUUGUAAAUCAGCUGGAAAACGUACAGUCGCAAACGACGAACGUUACGCUCUAGCCGCCUAAUACCGGUUAGACUCCGCACCAACUUUCUCUCGGGUUGGGUUGGGUAACCAACAGCGGAGUCAUAAACGAGAGAUCGUGGAAUCCGGGGUUACUUCGGAUCUCAUCAAACUCAAGGUAACUCGUUGAGCUCAGGGCUGUCGAUCAUCCUGAUCUCGACUAAACUCAAUGAUCUGACUAAGCAUGUAGUACCGACUGCAGAGGACUUGCGGACGGGAGUUCGAUUCUCCCCGCCUCCACCA